ACCAGGUCAAAAUUCGGUAAUCCAUCGUGUACGAGCUUCUCUCUUCGUCCACAAUCUCACACAUUAUCUCCCUCUCGCAUCUCAAUUCAAAUGUACAAUGCUCAUCGAAAAAACAAACCACAAAAUCAAAGAAGAAAUCAUAUUCGUGUCCAACAUCAACUUCAUCCACUGAAACCAAAACACAAUUGCAUCGUAUCAAAGGGAAACGCGAAAUCGAGACGAAUCAUUUAUUGAAGCAAGAAGAAGAAUUGACCAAAUUUGACGCGGUGGAAAAAAUAGGGAAUGUUUGCAGUCAUGAUUUUCUACAGGGUUGUAUGAAUGUAUUAUGCGGGGCAAUGUUAAUUUUCUGUCACAAGAAUUUUUGCAGGGUGCAUUUGUUCUACUGAUUCGAAAUGUUAUGAUGCAUGUGCAGGGUUGAUUUGGUGGUUCAAUGCGCAGGGUUCUCGCUUGUGUGUUCAGAAUGAAGGGUUUUGCUCGAUUUGGUAUGGGUGAAUGCAUUUUGUUGAGUUAAUUGCUUGGAAUGAAAGAGCUAACUUGGGAAUCGUAAAUAAAUUAGGAAUUUGGGCUAAGAUUAUAGGUUGUUAAUUUAUGAAUGAGAUUGUAAUGUAAUGGAUGUUAUUGAGUGAAAUAUUUAAUUGGGUUAUAAAUGGAAAUGGUUUUAAUGUA